rnacentral:rRNA from 1 species
UUUGUUGCCUCGGCAGAAGUUAUAGGAUUUCUUAUAGCUGCUGCCGGUGGACCAUUAAACUCUUGUUAUUUUAUGUAAUCUGAGCGUCUUAUUUUAAUAAGUCAAAACUUUCAACAACGGAUCUCUUGGUUCUGGCAUCGAUGAAGAACGCAGCGAAAUGCGAUAAGUAAUGUGAAUUGCAGAAUUCAGUGAAUCAUCGAAUCUUUGAACGCACAUUGCGCCCAUUAGUAUUCUAGUGGGCAUGCCUGUUCGAGCGUCAUUUCAACCCUUAAGCCUAGCUUAGUGUUGGGAAUCUACUUCUNUUANUAGUUGUAGUUCCUGAAAUACAACGGCGGAUUUGUAGUAUCCUCUGAGCGUAGUAAUUUNUUUUCUCGCUUUUGUUAGGUGCUAUAACUCCCAGCCGCUAAACCCCCAAUUUUUUGUGGUUGACCUCGGAUCAGGUAGGAAUACCCGCUGAACUUAAGC